UCUUCCUCCUCCUACAUCGAUGUUUGCUUUGGCUGCUUGGCAUGGAGAGAGGGACCCAGUUCCUCAGGCCUGUACUCUGGUGACAGGGCACAGAGGGUGCUAGGUGAUGUCAGCAGCUGACAACUGCUCCUGCUGUCAUCCUGGUUUCCCUUCCCUGCUCACUGCACUCCAGAGCCCCAGGGGGCUCUCCAUGCUCUAGGUACUCCAGGCCCUAAGCAGUGGCUCAGUGUGCGGCUGCUGGUGUCUCAGGGCUCCACCAGCUGGAGGCACUUCUAUCUCUGGGCCUCCGAUGGCUUUCAUGGCCAAGGAGUAGGGCAAAGGGUAGAUGGACUGGGCUGCUUUUCAGCAGGGACUGGUCGUAAGAUGACAUGAGACCAGCCCUGCCUGGGUCUGGCCUGAAUCACAGUGCGCUCUGCCCAGCUGUGUAUGAACUGGCCAAGCUGGGAACUGGUUUGUUUCAAUCUAACUGCAACCUGUUCCCAUUCCAGUAUUUUAAUUAUGGCAAUAAAGAAAUGUGAACAUAAAAAGGUACGUGCUUUAUAAAUGUGAUUCUGAUGUUCCCUUUUGAUACUAAUUCACAUUAAUUGCCUCAGAUGAUACUGAUACCCAAACAGAAAUCUGGCAGAAGAAUCCCGACUGGCAGUCCUGAUAACGUGCCUGUGUGGAGGCGGCAGUAAUGGGGUCAGGCUCUCUGAACAGCCUAUGAAGGAUCCAGGGAGGUGGGUGUGAGGCGCUUAUUAAACCAGAGUGAGGCCAGCUCUGGGACGUUGUGGCUAACUUGGGACACAAGAGAUAAGGGUAGGGACCUGAGGCACCAGAAAAAUCAGAUGAGGCGUGGCCACGAGAUAUGGGUAGCAGAAUACAAAGGAGCAAAACAAAGUCAGGUGAAAUGAGAGUUGGGAAUGGAAGAGAGAAGGGAAAGUGGCUCAGGAGAGUCACAAGCACCUCUUCGGCAAAGCCCACCUCCCUCUCUCGCUUGAUUCCCCGGCCAUCCUUAUCAAAGACCUUCCAGGUGAACAGGCAGCCAUCCUCAGCAGCAGUCAGCAGGAACUGAUCAUCAAAGAAACUUGCAAAAAUAGCACAGAGAGAGUGGACUUCUGGAAUGGCACGGCAACAAAAUUCCCUACGGCAGCACCCAAAGGCUUGAAAUUAGCCAUUCCAAGUGUGUCCAAAAAACUAAAGGAAACCAUGAUUAAACAAGUAAAGGUAGAAAUGAUAUGCAUCAAAUAGAGAAGAAUAAAAGGAUCCCAUCAAUAUAGGGAUAGAACUGUAAGAAAAUAGAAAUUCUAGAGUUAAAAACUACAAUAACUGAAAUGAAAAAUCCACUAGAGGUGCUCAAGAAUAGAUCUGAACUGGCAGAA
rnacentral:lncRNA from 1 species